AGAAAAUCUGACAUCUUCGCUUAGAAUAACACUCGUCACAAUAACACUCGCUUAGAACAAUUUGUAACAAGCCUGAGACAGAGGCAGAAAAAUUAUACCCUCAUCUAGACUAAACAUAUAUUUGAGAUACCUUCCAUGUUGCAUAAGAAAGCACAUUAGGAUAAAUUCCCAGGCUCACUGCAUUGAUGGAUGUGAGUGUUACAGGUGAGUAAGUCUCCCUCCUGUCCUCAGGAAAUCCUUUGUUUAACAUGAAGUGUUUUCGGUCUUAUGUAUAGACCUGGACACACUAACACACGCGGAUACAGGGUGGGACUGGCUAUAGUGAAUCUGGCAACAUGAACUCCACAUCUCAGGAGAGAGUAGAUGGAUUUAGUAAUGUAGUCUAAUGUGGACAUGUGCACCGCAGCAGCUCCUGGUUCAUCCUGGUUCAAAAAUAACGGAGUUAUCCCUUAUAACAUAUUAUGCGAAGGUUUGGUUUUACUUCCGCUGUUUCAUUCAUAGAGUGUUUGGUCAAGUGAAUUGGCUCGACUCUCAUAUCAAAAUUUAGCACGACUCCGAUAUGUCUAAGCAGACAUUUUUAGAGUUUAGUCGUCCUUUAAAUAAAUAACAUUUAUUAGACCAGAACGUUCGAGCGUUAUUGAUGUUUAAAUGUAAGCUAUCAUGUGGCUAUUUAAAACAUAUGUCAGCACGUGCGUGGGACCGGGCGUAAUCUUAAAACAGGUUCAAUUCUGCACAUGCGCCAAAACCAGCGCAUGCGCAGAAUCGACCAUACUUAAUGGGUACAGAUCGAGCAGGUGGUGUAACGAAGUUGGAAAACAGAACCAAACCAUGUUUGAAUCAUUGCUUCUCUUUGCUAGUACUGUGAGAAAACGUCGUUACUGAAGAGGCCUGGAUGCCAAAACAAGCUCUGAAGCUGAUUUUUUGUUGAACACGAGUGAGACUGGACGCUGAACACACCUUUGGCGCGAAGGUUUACUCUUUCAGCUGCUGCAGCCGGGACAGAAACACCAGCUCUCACGUUACAAACCAAACAGGUGUCACCACUUCGUCCACGAUCAGAGUCUUUGUACGAUGAAGAAGUUCUUUGAGACCAGGACUGAGGCUUCCAGGUUUCAGACUUUAACCAUUAAAUCACAGAGAGAAGAGACAGACAUGAAGACAUUUCCAGAAGGUCUUCAACUGCUGUCAUCUUCUCUUCUGCAGAGAUAAGAACAAGUAUUAAUCACAGAAACUGAUUAGUAAAUCUAAAUAUUUUUACGACAUACUAUUCUAUUUAAAUUUUUAAUUUUUUUUUUUUUUUUUUAGAUCUUACUAUAUACUAGGACAUGCAGCUUAAGACAUAGGAACUACCUUUGUUUUCCACACACACAUUGACACCUCUACAGUGUUUGUGGGUUAAGUUAGAUUUUGUGUUUGUCAUUUCAUUCUGGUAUUUUGCUAUUUUAAACAAUGCAAUGUCAGUACUCAAAUCCAGUGUAUUACUGUGUACAUAGUCCUGUUUAUACUUUUCAUAUUGUUUAUAAUUUUUAUAUAUAUUGUCUUGUUAAUUUAAUACCCUUUUCUAUUUUUGUUGUUGCAACACUGAAUUUCCUUGCUGUGGGACUGAUAAAGGAUCUUACUCAAAUAAAUACUUAAUACUAAACACUGAAUAGUUUGCUGGUCUGUUUAAUAUUGUAUGAGCGUGAAUAUUUUUAGCCAGAGGUUAGAAUUUUAGCCUCAAUACAUUUUAAUUGCAAGCUGCAAGUAGAGAAUGUUU